rnacentral:rRNA from 1 species
UACGUAGGGGGCAAGCGUUGUCCGGAAUCAUUGGGCGUAAAGCGCGUGUAGGCGGCUCGAUUAGUCCGCUCUGAAAGUCCGGGGCUCAACCCCGGGAGGCGGGUGGAUACUGUCGAGCUAGAGUCCGGAAGGGGCGAGUGGAAUUCCUGGUGUAGCGGUGAAAUGCGCAGAUAUCGCUUGGAACGCCAAAGGUGAAAACAGGUUGCUGGGGUUGUGCCGACGCUGAGACACGAAAGCCAGGGGAGCAAACGGG